GCCAUCAGAAGCAGCCGGGCGUCUAGGGCCUUGAGGCCCAUAAGUCAUGCUGCCUGCCGCCAUUCCCUGCUGCUCCCGGAGAGGUGCCGUGCAGUGAUUCAGCACGAGAUCCAAGAGGCUGCUGUACCAGGCUGACCGAGGUAAAGCUCCCGGCUCGGAGGGCCUGCUCUGAAGAGGCCGUCAGCAGUGAGCAGCUCACAGGCAAGUAACCAUCCUAAUGGGUGUG